GGGGUCGACCGGAAUUGACAGUAAGUGUACACUGUAUGCCGGCAUGUCGGGUGUUGAAUGAGCACACGUAAUCAAUUCAUUCACUAUGAUAAUUGGCGAGUCUAACUACGCUAUGGCAGCCUAAUUCUUAAAUAAAGUAAAGAAUUAUCAGGGUUGAGCUUUAUCGGUUCCCCCUGCCACAUCCUGCUGUUCUUUUGUCCUUGAGAACAGUGCUUAGGGUGUCGUAACAAGGAAUAAUCCGGAGUAACGCCGCAGGCUUCGGGUGAAAUUUAGCGGCUGGCAUUUUAGGUGGGUAGUUGUUCGCCAGCCUGGAGUGUGAGAUAAAGAAGAAUAACUAAGCAUGUAGAAGGCCUAUGGAUGCCUUAGCUGGACGAGGGUUCGAAUCCCUCCGACUCCACGA
rnacentral:tmRNA from 1 species